CCCAAUGGGCCUUGUGUGUGUGAGGUGGCGCCAUAUGGCCAUGAAGCAAGGGAGAAACAUUUCAUUUUCUCAUAGUUCUUGUGUUCUUGAGUUGAAGAGAGGAGAGCUUAGGAGCUACGGCAAGAAGAAAAGCUAGAGAUUCGAGAUCUUCGUCGAGUUUUCUUCGAAUCCAGGUAUGAGAGUAGUUUCCUUAAUCGUGGGUGAUUCGAGGAAGGGGAGAAUGUCGAUUUCUCCUCACCCGAACUUCCUCCACCCCAUUUUUCGUUUUAUCUUGAAAUGGAUUUUCUUGAUGAAAAUCGUUUCUAAGGUUCUUGAUAUGUUUAACAUGCUUUUAACAUGAUUAAUGAGCGGAAAUCAUGGUUAAAAACGAGUUUUCUAACAGAUUAAACUCAAGAACUUUGUGUUCUUGAGAGUUUUGAUGAAAAAGUGUCAAUCUUUACUUUUUCGAUGUUUAUGACGUAGAUCUGAGAAAUGAACUAUCCUUUUGUGUUUAUCUAUGUN
rnacentral:lncRNA from 1 species